rnacentral:rRNA from 1 species
UGGGGAAUUUUGGACAAUGGGCGAAAGCCUGAUCCAGCAAUGCCGCGUGUGUGAAGAAGGCCUUCGGGUUGUAAAGCACUUUUGUCCGGAAAGAAAUGGCUCUGGUUAAUACCUGGGGUCGAUGACGGUACCGGAAGAAUAAGGACCGGCUAACUACGUGCCAGCAGCCGCGGUAAUACGUAGGGUCCAAGCGUUAAUCGGAAUUACUGGGCGUAAAGCGUGCGCAGGCGGUUGUGCAAGACCGAUGUGAAAUCCCCGAGCUUAACUUGGGAAUUGCAUUGGUGACUGCACGGCUAGAGUGUGUCAGAGGGGGGUAGAAUUCCACGUGUAGCAGUGAAAUGCGUAGAGAUGUGGAGGAAUACCGAUGGCGAAGGCAGCCCCCUGGGAUAACACUGACGCUCAUGCARGAAAGCGUGGGGAGCAACARGAUUAGAUACC